rnacentral:rRNA from 1 species
GGGCCCGCACAAGCGGUGGAGCAUGUGGUUUAAUUCGAUGCAACGCGAAGAACCUUACCUACUCUUGACAUCCUCAGAAGGAACCGGAAACGGAUCUGUGCCUUCGGGAACUGAGAGACAGGUGCUGCAUGGCUGUCGUCAGCUCGUGUCGUGAGAUGUUGGGUUAAGUCCCGUAACGAGCGCAACCCCUAUCCUUAGUUGCCAGCACGUAAUGGUGGGAACUCUAGGGAGACUGCCGGUGACAAACCGGAGGAAGGUGGGGGACGACGUCAAGUCAUCAUGGCCCUUAUGAGUAGGGCUACACACGUGCUACAAUGGUCGGUACAAAGGGCAGCAAGUUCGCGAGGACAAG